ACCAGAUUGUCAAAAUGAUAUCAUAUCCGGAACUAUUAGCUUAGGAGACUUCAGCCGCUGGAGUGAAAGAGAAAUUGUCACACCAAUGACACCAUCACACAGCACCCACCAUCUCAACCUCACAGAGGUUCUGCUUGGAUUUGCAUGGGAGGCUGCUAUGUCAGUUCACAACAAUCCAACAGCUGAAAAGUAAAGAGUUCCAAAAGCCAAACUUCCACAAGAAGCAACAAAGCAAAGCCCCUCUCCCCUCUUUUUGAGAUUAUCAUAUGUAAAGUUGUAAACCAUCUUCUUUUUUGAUAUCUCCAUCAACUCCAUUCCCACAUACAACCCCCACCCCACCAUCACCAAAAUUUCCUUUUGCAUUUCCAAUCUUCUGUCACCAACCCACCUGCAAUUUCAACUCCCACAAGUUUCUCCCUUUUAACAAGCUUCUCAAUCAUUGCAUCGUCCGCUUCAACCAGGGUUAGUUCGUCUCUUUAAAACAUAUUAUCCCUGUCUCCUUCUGCCUUGCUUCAGGCACCAAAUUUCGAUUAUAUAUUGCCAGUUCAGUUUUUGUCAAUAUGCUGCCUAGCUUUCUUUGGUGGCCUGUCAUGUCAAAUAUGGGGUGGAUGUGUGUUCACCUCUCCCAUAUGGGUUGGAUGUGUGUAAAUGAAGGAGUCUGGUUACAUAGAAAGAGAUGGGGAGGAGUUCAACUAUUAUCUUAUCGAAAUUGGGUUAUCUAAAAACUUUUUAACUGCAAAAUUAAGGAAAGGGGGAGGAGACAGAGUGAGGAUCAGCAGCCUCUCGCAUGCAUAUCCAAUCG